UCUACAGUCCAACAAUAAUUGCCAGGAGACUUUUGUAGGCUUUUGCAGGCUUUUGCAGGACUUUUGCAUUAUACCUAUGAUGGGCAGCUGGGUCCAUCUCCCCCUCCAGU